CCUACGGGGAGCUGCAGUGAGGAAUAUUGGUCAAUGGGCGGAAGCCUGAACCAGCCAAGUAGCGUGCAGGAUGACGGCCCUACGGGUUGUAAACUGCUUUUAUACGGGAAUAACGCGCCUUACGUGUAGGGCUUUGCAUGUACCGUAUGAAUAAGGACCGGCUAAUUCCGUGCCAGCAGCCGCGGUAAUACGGAAGGUCCGGGCGUUAUCCGGAUUUAUUGGGUUUAAAGGGAGCGUAGGCCGCAUGUCAAGCGUGCUGUGAAAUGUCCGGGCUCAACCAGGGCCUUGCAGGGCGAACGGGCGUGCUGGAGUCCGCGGAAGGCAGGCGGAAUUGGGCGUGUAGCGGUGAAAUGCUUAGAUAUGACGAAGAACCCCGAUUGCGAAGGCAGCUUGCUGCAGCGGAACUGACGCUGAUGCUCGAAAGCGCGGGUAUCGAACAGGAUUAGAUACCCCAGUAGUC
rnacentral:rRNA from 1 species